rnacentral:rRNA from 1 species
AUUGAACGCUGGCGGCAGGCCUAACACAUGCAAGUCGAGCGAGCGGCGGACGGGUGAGUAAUGCCUGGGAAUUGCCCAGACGGGGGGGAUAACAGUUGGAAACGCCUGCUAAUACAUCAUACGAUUGGAUUGCUCAGGCGGGAUUAGCUAGUUGGGAAGGUAAUGGCUCACCAAGGCGACGAACCCUAGCUGGUCUGAGAGGAUGAUCAGCCACACGGGAACUGAGACACGGUCCAGACUCCUACGGGAGGCAGCAGUGGGGAAUAUUCCACAAUGGGGGAAACCCUGACGCAGCCAUGCCGCGUGUGUGACGAAGGCCUUCGGGUUGUAAAGCACUUUCAGCGAGGAGGCGUUACUCGCAGAAGAAGCACCGGCUAACUCCGUGCCAGCAGCCGCGGUAAUUC